rnacentral:rRNA from 1 species
UACAGAGGUGGCAAGCGUUGUUCGGAAUUACUGGGCGUAAAGGGCGAGUAGGUGGCCAUCUAAGUCAGACGUGAAAUCCCCCGGCUUAACCUGGGAACUGCGUCUGAUACUGGACGGCUUGAGUAUGGGAGAGGAAUGUAGAAUUCCAGGUGUAGCGGUGAAAUGCGUAGAUAUCUGGAGGAAUACCGGUGGCGAAGGCGGCAUUCUGGACCGACAUUGACACUAAAGCGCGAAAGCCAGGGGAGCAAACGGG